AAGACUGUACCAUCAGGGAUCAUUUUUAUAGUUCAUUACCAGAGAAGUUUCUCUGAAUGUGUAAGUACCACAUAAGCACAUAUGGCUGGACCAC
rnacentral:snoRNA from 1 species